ACUAUACUCCCUCCAUCUGUAAAUACUUGUCAUCAAAAUGAAUAAGGGGAUGUAUCUAGAUGUAUUUUAGUUCUAGAUACAUCUUUUUUUAUUCAUUUUGAUGACAAGUAUUUUCGGACGGAGAGAGUAUAUG
rfam:Triticum aestivum genome assembly, contig: Triticum_aestivum_CS42_TGACv1_scaffold_577316_7BL